GAAAUGUAGAGCAUGAGCUAGAGGAGCAGGGGAUCGCGAGGGGCAGAUGGCGGCGUGAUCCGCGGGUGGGGAUCAGUCCGGCCGGCAAGCUCGCGGCAGCAAAGGCCAUGUGCCCUUGCCGGUCGCCCUUAAAAGUGAAAGGGCUCGCUCAUUUGAAAGAGAACAGGUCUUCGGCGAGAGUCCAGGAGAAAGAGAGAGGGAUUCUUGUUUUUCCGCAGGUUUUGGCCGAGAGAGAGAAACAAGAGCAUGAGCCCGAGAGAGUGAUCUGCCGUCGUCGGUGGCUCGUCCGUCAGCCGCCGUCCGCCGCGGUACCCCCACCAAACCAAACCAGGUGCUAAGGAACUGUCAAUCACGAUGUAAACAUCACAAGCAGUGUUCUGUGCAAUUAGAGAUGGAUAGAGUUUCCAAAUUGGAAGGAAAUUAAAGCAACAGGAUGCUAAUUGGAGGAUAAAGCCAAGGUAGCAACAAAAAAACCUACCAAAGUGGUUCCAUUGCAUGCAUGGCAGGUCUAUCCGAUCUCCCUUGUGAUAUUCCCAUUGGAUAAGAACAUUAUAUCCAGCCA